CAGACAUACACACACGACAAUUUAUCGUGC
rnacentral:sRNA from 1 species